rnacentral:lncRNA from 1 species
GUGUCAUUAUACUGGAAAAAUAAAGAUUUAUUUAAUUUUAAUCGUGCAAAAGAAAGAUUUCUUGGCACCAUGAAGUCAUUUAAGACCCAAGCCACUUUGACAUUUUGUUUUUUUAACAAUUAUUUAAUCAUCUCUGAUAUUUUUUUGAUACAUUUUGUUCACAAAGUUGGUUUAUAUACAAUAGUUCAAGAAAAAUACAAAAAUAUUUUUGUAUAAGCGUGUUUUAUUCAAAGAAAAUAUUCAGAAAAAAUGAAUGACUUUUUGUCCUGUGACUUUCUGUCCUACAUUCACUUACACAGACCCACCUUGCUUGCAUCAUUCUCUAUUUCUUUCUCUCACACUCUCUCUUGUUCUAAUUACUGAAGAAAUAUAGGCAAACAUUUAAAAAAAAAUACCAUUUUAAUUUCCAAUUCCAAUUGAAAUACACUGCAUUUAAUUAAAGGAGACAACUCUCAAUCUAAGACCAAAUGUCUUAAAGGUGGCUCAUAUCUGAAAGCAAGUUUAACUAACAAUAAUCCCUAUCCUAACAAUCAAAAAAGAGAUCCACUCUGACAUCAAAUUUAUGCAAAAUAAACAGUUCACAAAUAUCAUUUUACAAAUAGACAUCUAUGUUAACACCACCAACACCCUUAAAUGAUGUACAUGUACUCUACUAAAAAAUGUUCUUUUCAUUUCUAGUGUAAUAUCUCUUUGUUAAACUUGCAAUAAACAUUCUUUAUUAAAUUUGCAUGUUUC